GGGGUAUAGCUCAGUUGGUAGAGUGGUUGCCUCACAUGUAUAAGGCCCUGGGUUUGAUCCCCAGCACCACCA
rnacentral:tRNA from 1 species